rnacentral:rRNA from 1 species
GUAGGGUCCGAGCGUUGUCCGGAAUUACUGGGCGUAAAGAGCUCGUAGGUGGUUUGUCGCGUUGUCCGUGAAAUCCCACAACUCAAUUGUGGGUCUGCGGGCGAUACGGGCAGACUGGAGUACUGCAGGGGAGACUGGAAUUCCUGGUGUAGCGGUGGAAUGCGCAGAUAUCAGGAGGAACACCGGUGGCGAAGGCGGGUCUCUGGGCAGUAACUGACGCUGAGGAGCGAAAGCGUGGGGAGCGAAC